rnacentral:misc_RNA from 1 species
AAGUCGUAAAAAGGUUUCCGUAGGUGAACCUGCGGAAGGAUCAUAAAAAUUUUACCGGAGCCAAAAGUUUUUUCUUUUGGUCUUUUCCUGUGAAAAAAAGUUGCGCGCACCGUUUUGUUUCUCCUUGGCAGGGGGCUAUGGUACUUUUUGGGGAAAAAUCUUUUUCCUCAUUCUUUUUUCCAACUUUCGCGCACUGGCUCCAUCCCUGUCCUCUAUUUUUCUUUUUAGGUUGGGACAGCUGGCGUGCGAAGCCGUCUCCCUGCCAAGGAAAUUUAUAAAACACGCUUUUUGCAAAAACUUCUUGUCUAAAACUUUUUUGCGCUUGCGCAUAAACUAAAUAUAACUUUCAACAAUGGAUCUCUUGGCUCUC